UCUCCCACGGGUCGUUGGGGAGGCCCUACUCGACCGCUUCUCUAUUUUUUCUUCUACUGCGCCGCUCGCAUCCCUUCUCCUACGCCGCUCGAGCUCUUUGCGGCACCACCGCCGCCGUGGCAUCCAAGCGUCCAAGCGCGAUGCCUCCCCGCCGAUCUGGCCUCUCCACGCCUGGAUCCGCGAGAGGGAUCCACCGCCAAUCCAUCCAUGACCAGGAACCGAGCAAACAUCAUCCUUUGCCCAGCCGCCAUGCCCGUCCUCCCUGCCACGACCACCGAGCAGAUCAGGAAGCGGUGCCACUCCCAUCCUCCCUGCCGACAUUCUCUCCGACCCGCCCUCCCAAGUUAACGCUCGUUCUCCCUCCCCAACGGCCGCUCAUCUACAACCCGCAACGCCAACACCUCAUUCUUGCAUCCUGCAACCCGCAAGCUCCACUGGAUAGGAUGAGCACCACGCCAUCAGUUCGUCUCCUCAGCAGCAAAUGAAUCAAAGGUCCAAUUCCCGUCAAGCAAGCAAGACAAAAGCAAUGAAAGAAAGGGGGAGGUGUGGACAGAUGCAAGGAAGGUGAUGCGCAAGACAGUGACUACGUUGAGAAGAUGGCAAUGCCUACACAAGGAAGGAAGCGAACUGCAAUUGGAGGAGGUCAUCGUGCAGAUGGAGGCAAGAAUCAAAGAACCGCUGAAGAUCAUGUGGGUUUCGCAGGGAUCAAGUGCUGCUCCAUCAACAAUGAGCUGGGUGCCGUCGCUGGACACUCUAGCUUCAUCAAGUUCUGGCGUGCUUCCCGUGCCUAAUUGCUGUUUGACAGACUUUCAGUCUCCUAGUGCUACUUAGCCUUUUCGUAGCUCUUGCACUUGUCUGGCGGGCGCGCCUCGAAUACGCCUGAACCGUUAUGCUGUACAUACGUUUUUUUCCUCUGGAAUGAAAACGGGGGAAACCCUUUUCUCUAAAAAAA